UACGUAGGGUGCAAGCGUUGUCCGGAAUUAUUGGGCGUAAAGAGCUUGUAGGCGGUUUGUCGCGUCUGCCGUGAAAAUUCGAGGCUCAACCUGGGAAUGGCAAUGGAUACUGGCAAGCUAGAGUGCGGUAGAGGGUAGUGGAAUUCCCGGUGUAGCGGUGAAAUGCGUAGAGAUCGGGAGGAACACCAGUGGCGAAGGCGGCUACCUGGACCAGCACUGACACUGAGGCACGAAAGCGUGGGGAGCAAACAGG
rnacentral:rRNA from 1 species